AGUGAACGCUGGCGGUAGGCCUAACACAUGCAAGUCGAACGGCAGCACAGUAAGAGCUUGCUCUUACGGGUGGCGAGUGGCGGACGGGUGAGGAAUACAUCGGAAUCUACUUUUUCGUGGGGGAUAACGUAGGGAAACUUACGCUAAUACCGCAUACGACCUACGGGUGAAAGCAGGGGAUCUUCGGACCUUGCGCGAUUGAAUGAGCCGAUGUCGGCUUAGCUAGUUGGCGGGGUAAAGGCCAACCAAGGCGACGAUCCGUACAUGGUCUGAGAGGAUGAUCAGCCACACUGGAACUGAGACACGGUCCAGACUCCUACGGGAGGCAGCAGUGGGGAAUAUUGGACAAUGGGCGCAAGCCUGAUCCAGCCAUACCGCGUGGGUGAAGAAGGCCUUCGGGUUGUAAAGCCCUGUUGUUGGGAAAGAAAAGCAGCAGGUUAAUACCCCGCUGUUCUGACGGUACCCAAAGAAUAAGCACCGGCUAACUUCGUG
rnacentral:rRNA from 1 species